AUUGAACGCUGGCGGCAGGCCUAACACAUGCAAGUCGAACGAGUGGCGGACGGGUGAGUAAUGUCUGGGAAACUGCCCGAUGGAGGGGGAUAACUACUGGAAACGGUAGCUAAUACCGCAUACCCUCGGAUGUGCCCCGAUGGGAUUAGCUAGUAGGAGGGGUAACGGCUCACCUAGGCGACGAUCCCUAGCUGGUCUGAGAGGAUGACCCGCCACACUGGAACGGAGACACGGUCCAGACUCCUACGUGCUGCAGCAGUGGGGAAUAUUGCACAAUGGGCGCAAGCCUGAUGCAGCCAUGCCGCGUGUAUGAAGAAGGCCUUCGGGUUGUAAAGUACUUUCAGCGAGGAGGCGUUACUCGCAGAAGAAGCACCGGCUAACUCCGUGCCAGCCGCCGCGGUAAUUC
rnacentral:rRNA from 1 species